GGGGGGGCCUAUACAUGCAAGUCGAACGAGAUUAAGGGGCUUGCUCCUUAUGAAAGUGGCGCACGGGUGCGUAACGCGUAUGCAACCUACCUCAAUCAGGGGGAUAGCCCGAAGAAAUUCGGAUUAACACCGCAUAAAAACACAGGAUAGCAUUAUCUAAUGUUCAAAUAUUUAUAGGAUUGAGAUGGGCAUGCGUGUCAUUAGCUAGUUGGCGGGGUAACGGCCCACCAAGGCGACGAUGACUAGGGGAUCUGAGAGGAUGACCCCCCACACUGGUACUGAGACACGGACCAGACUCCUACGGGAGGCAGCAGUAAGGAAUAUUGGUCAAUGGAGGCAACUCUGAACCAGCCAUGCCGCGUGCAGGAAGACAGCCCUCUGGGUCGUAAACUGCUUUUAUUCGGGAAUAAACCUAUUUACGUGUAGAUAGCUGAAUGUACCGAAGGAAUAAGGAUCGGCUAACUCCGUGCCAGCAGCCGCGGUAAUACGGAGGAUCCAAGCGUUAUCCGGAUUUAUUGGGUUUAAAGGGUGCGUAGGCGGCUUAUUAAGUCAGGGGUGAAAGACGGUGGCUCAACCAUCGCAGUGCCUUUGAUACUGAUGAGCUUGAAUGAACUAGAGGUAGGCGGAAUGUGACAAGUAGCGGUGAAAUGCAUAGAUAUGUCACAGAACACCGAUUGCGAAGGCAGCUUACUAUGGUUUUAUUGACGCUGAGGCACGAAAGCGUGGGGAUCAAACAGGAUUAGAUACCCUGGUAGUCCACGCCCUAAACGAUGAAUACUCGCUGUUAGCGAUAUACAGUUAGCGGCUAAGCGAAAGCGUUAAGUAUUCCACCUGGGGAGUACGCCCGCAAGGGUGAAACUCAAAGGAAUUGACGGGGGCCCGCACAAGCGGAGGAGCAUGUGGUUUAAUUCGAUGAUACGCGAGGAACCUUACCCGGGCUUGAAAGUUAGUGAAUGAUCUAGAGAUAGAUCAGUGAGCAAUCACACGAAACUAGGUGCUGCAUGGCUGUCGUCAGCUCGUGCCGUGAGGUGUUGGGUUAAGUCCCGCAACGAGCGCAACCCCUAUGUUUAGUUGCCAGCACGUAAAGGUGGGGACUCUAAACAGACUGCCUGGUGCAAACAGAGAGGAAGGAGGGGGACG
rnacentral:rRNA from 1 species